GACGAACGCUGGCGGCGCGCCUAACACAUGCAAGUCGAACGGGGUUCUUUUAGGAAGCUUGCUUCUUGGCUGAACCUAGUGGCGGACGGGUGAGUAACACGUGAGCAACCUGCCCGGGAGUGGGGGAUAACACUUGGAAACGAGUGCUAAUACCGCAUAACAUCUUUGGAUGGCAUCAUUCGAAGAUCAAAGGAGUAAUCCGCUCUUGGAUGGGCUCGCGCCCGAUUAGAUAGUAGGUGGGGUAAUGGCCUACCAAGUCUGCGAUCGGUAGCCGGACUGAGAGGUUGAUCGGCCACAUUGGGACUGAGACACGGCCCAGACUCCUACGGGAGGCAGCAGUGGGGGAUAUUGCACAAUGGGGGAAACCCUGAUGCAGCGACGCCGCGUGAGGGAAGAAGUAUUUCGGUAUGUAAACUUCUAUCAGCAGGGAAGAAAAUGACGGUACCUGACUAAGAAGCCCCGGCUAAUUACGUGCCAGCAGCCGCGGUAAUAC
rnacentral:rRNA from 1 species